rnacentral:rRNA from 1 species
GUGAACGCUGGCGGUAGGCCUAACACAUGCAAGUCGAACGGCAGCACAGUAAGAGCUUGCUCUUACGGGUGGCGAGUGGCGGACGGGUGAGGAAUACAUCGGAAUCUACUUUUUCGUGGGGGAUAACGUAGGGAAACUUACGCUAAUACCGCAUACGACCUACGGGUGAAAGCAGGGGAUCUUCGGACCUUGCGCGAUUGAAUGAGCCGAUGUCGGAUUAGCUAGUUGGCGGGGUAAAGGCCCACCAAGGCGACGAUCCGUAGCUGGUCUGAGAGGAUGAUCAGCCACACUGGAACUGAGACACGGUCCAGACUCCUACGGGAGGCAGCAGUGGGGAAUAUUGGACAAUGGGCGCAAGCCUGAUCCAGCCAUACCGCGUGGGCGAAGAAGGCCUUCGGGUUGUAAAGCCCUUUUGUUGGGAAAGAAAAGCAGCAGGUUAAUACCCCGCUGUUCUGACGGUACCCAAAGAAUAAGCACCGGCUAACUUCGUG